GGCGCUAUAGUGUAGUGGUUAUCACUUGGGAUUCUGAGGAGGGUUCCCAAAACCCAGGUUCGAGCCCUGGUAGCGCCU